UGGGGAAUAUUGCACAAUGGGCGCAAGCCUGAUGCAGCCAUGCCGCGUGUGUGAAGAAGGCCUUCGGGUUGUAAAGCACUUUCAGCGGGGAGGAAGGCGUUAAGGUUAAUAACCUUGGCGAUUGACGUUACCCGCAGAAGAAGCACCGGCUAACUCCGUGCCAGCAGCCGCGGUAAUACGGAGGGUGCAAGCGUUAAUCGGAAUUACUGGGCGUAAAGCGCACGCAGGCGGUCUGUCAAGUCGGAUGUGAAAUCCCCGGGCUCAACCUGGGAACUGCAUUCGAAACUGGCAGGCUAGAGUCUUGUAGAGGGGGGUAGAAUUCCAGGUGUAGCGGUGAAAUGCGUAGAGAUCUGGAGGAAUACCGGUGGCGAAGGCGGCCCCCUGGACAAAGACUGACGCUCAGGUGCGAGAGCGUGGGGAGCAAACAGG
rnacentral:rRNA from 1 species